rnacentral:lncRNA from 1 species
GCCUGAUUACACUCAGACCAGAUGGGGGGAGAGGCCCCGCAGCGCCCAUAUGCACCCCCAUAGCCCUGUUAGCGACAAGAGGAGGACCUUGUCCUAACCUGAGCUAAAAUCGAUUAUGUCAGAAAUUGGGGAAGAACCCCGUCCUAACGCUAGUCAAGAUCUGGUCAUUUAAGACCAGAUAGGAAGAAGAAAAAACCUUCCCAGUGACCCCUUCACGCUCCCACGACCCCACC